rnacentral:rRNA from 1 species
GAUGAACGCUGGCCGCGUGCCUAAUACAUGCAAGUCGAGCGAACAGACGAGGAGCUUGCUCCUCUGACGUUAGCGGCGGACGGGUGAGUAACACGUGGAUAACCUACCUAUAAGACUGGGAUAAAUUCGGGAAACCGGAGCUAAUACCGGAUAAUAUAUUGAACCGCAUGGUUCAAUAGUGAAAGACGGUUUUGCUGUCACUUAUAGAUGGAUCCGCGCCGCAUUAGCUAGUUGGUAAGGUAACGGCUUACCAAGGCAACGAUGCUUAGCCGCCCUGAGAGGGUGAUCGGCCACACUGGAACUGAGACACGGUCCAGACUCCUACGGGAGGCAGCAGUAGGGAAUCUGCCGCAAUGGGCGAAAGCUUGACGGAGCAACGCCGCGUGAGUGAUGAAGGUCUUCGGAUCGUAAAACUCUGUUAUUAGGGAAGAACAAAUGUGUAAGUAACUAUGCACGUCUUGACGGUACCUAAUCAGAAAGCCACGGCUAACUACGUG